CCCAAGCGGUGUCUAAUCACCCUGGCUUGUCUUCAGCAAGAAUUCUGUUAGGACAGGUUAGCCAGAAUCCCCGGGACCCCUGAUGUUUCCUCCUGAUGAUUUUCCAUCCACUGAUUUCCACCCUGCUCUUUGGCAAUAACUUCCUACUGGCCUAUGCAGUAUUUGGAAUUAAGCCCUGUUGUAUGUCAAAGUUUCUUUACCUUCAUUACAAUCGUCUUGAAUAAAAUCUGUUUUCACCAAUUUAACUGCUCUGGGUUUUCUUGGACUGUUAUAACGCCAUGACUCAGAGAGGAUCGGGUCCAUCAUUGACUCCAAGCCUGCUCACCUAAGGAUCUCUAGUGUGCACCUCUGAAGACUUUGUUCUAACUCUUGAUUUAUUGGGGAUCCGCUGGUGAGUCCGACUCCUGAGCCCGUGGCUCCAGAUGGCAGUCCAUGGAAACACGAAGCCUGGGAUCCACUGAGCAAUAACAUAUUUUUCGUUCAUUUGGGAAGAAGAAGGAAUCCAUGAAAUUAGUGGAGGGAUCUGCAGACUGGAGUUUUAAAAGGCACACAGUAAAUAUUGCAUGCAUGAACUGGAGUCCAAUCAUAUCUCACCCACCAACUCAUCUGUGGUUGUGGAAAUCCAGCUGCCAUGUCCUGAGCUACCCUAAAGGGAAGGCAAUAUGGCAAGGAAUUGAGGGAGAUUUCCAUCCUACGUCCAGAGAGGAACUAAGUUCCUUGGUCCAACAACCUGCCAACAGCUAUGUGUACAAGCUUGGAAGCAGAUUCUUCUUCCGUCCAGCCUUCAUAUGAGACAGCACCUUCAACCAACAUCCUGACUGCAGCUUUGUGAGAAAGCCUGAGCUAGAGCAACCCAGCUAAGGUGCACACAGAUUCCUGAUGCAAAGAAACUGUGACAAUAAGUGUUAGUUGUUUUAAGCCUCUAAGUAUUUGGGGUCAUUUUCUAUGCAAGAAUACAAAACUAAUGCAAUGCCAUAUGAUUAAGCAAUGAUACUCAUAGGUGUAUAUCUAGUAUACAUAUGUGGAACGUACACUUGGUGCACAUAGCUAUAGCAGCAUUAUUUGUAAUUUAGUGUUCAUAUUAACAUCAUUCAUAAUAGCUAAUAACUAAAAACAAUGAAAAUAUUCAUCAAAAGUAUAAUAAAUAACCUUACUCUUUUCCAUAAUAAGGCAUCAUUUAAACAGAUGCUUUUCUCUUCAGUGGGUGAUGUUUGCUUGUUACUUUAUUUUUAUAACAGAAGUCAUUUAAUAUCUCCUACUGUCUUAAAUUCAAACAUAUUAACAGAAUUUAAAAGGUUCUCCUUUUGUCAUUGUAGCCAGAUACAGCCAAAAGGAAUGUAUUUUUUAUUUCUACAAUAUAUGUACUUUAUAUAUACAAACAUUAUAUAAUGUAUAUGUAUAAACAUACACAAGUGUACAUGCAUAUAUAACGUGUGUGUAUAAAAUGUAUGAGUGGGUAUAUUUUCAAAUACAGAACAGAUAGAAGAAAACUGCUAGUGUUAACCCUUUUCAAUUAUACUUAAUAAAAUAUCUGAAGUACCAGGAUCAUAUUAAAUGUAAAUUUUCAAGAACCCCACUCCUGAACUGUAUUUCUGUGGGUAAUUAGCAAUUCAAGUAAAACACAGAAAUAGCCAUAAAAUGAAGCUCUGCUGAUAUUUACCAAGUUAUUUAUGAAACUAGCUUCCUUAAAGCUCUAAUCCAUGCUUCUCUGCACAUCUGUUUUUCUGGUCACAUGCAUUUUAUCACUUUCUCACCACUCUACCCAUGCCUUAGCACCUGAAAUACCCACAAGGGAUACCACCUGCCAGAGUGUUCUCUUUUUCAUUGCCAGCCAAUUCUGGUUUUUCUAAAGUUUCUUCCCAGGACACAUCUGCUAUCUUUUCUAUAGAAGUCCUUUAAUUUUCACCCAAACCCUGAAUCAUAAAUACAAGUACUGAGGCUAGGCAUGGUGAAACAUGCCUAUAAUCCUAGCACUUUAGGAGCCUGAGGCAGAAUUGCUUGAGCCCAGGAGAUUGAGACUAGCCUGGGCAACACGGCAAGACCCUGUCUCUAUAAUUUUUUUUUUUUAAAUUAGCCAGGCGUGGUGACAUGCAUGUGUAUUCCCAGCCACUUGGGAGGCUGAGGUGGGAGGAUUGCUUGAGGUCGAGGCUGCAGUGAGCCAUGUUCACACCACUGCAUUCUAGCCUGGAGGACAGAGUGAGGCCCUGUCUCAAAAAAAUUAAAUUAAAAUAAUAAUAGUAGAAAAAUUGUAUAGCAUGCUCUUAAUUCCAGGAGGAAAUGACCAUGUAAGAUAUAUUGUACAAAGAUACCUAGAGACAACAAUGAUCACCUAAAAUUGGACAGCCUUUUUAUACCAAAGAGUCAGCAUGCCGCAGUGGAUGGGAUAAGAAUGUAGGCAGUGGACUCAGACUGCUAGCUGCUCUUUGGGCCACUUGUUUAACUUCUCUAAGCCUCAGGUUCCCCCUUGGAAACAUGAAGCCAAUAACAGAAUCUAUCGCUGAAGGCUGUGAGCAAUAAAUGAGAGAUUGUCCAUGAAUAUACUUACGCACAAUGCCUGAGAUAAAGAUAUCAUUCAAUAAGGAUCAGCUUCCAUUUUAAUUAUUUUAUGUUACCAUUGCUAGUGUUAUUCUUAUUUUCCAUAGACUUCUAUCAAUCUAGAUUACUGGAUUCAGAUAGCACAUAUGUGAUGCUUCUUUUGUUCAAUUACCCAUCGCAUCCUUAAAUAAAUAUUUUUGAGCAGCUUCCUUGUUCCUAACAUGAUGCGUGGUUCUAAAAAUAUAGACAAGUGUGGUCUCUGCCCUGUUCAGAACUUCGCACCAUUGUUAGUUUGUUUACAAUGAGACAGUAUAGUCACAUAGAGCAGUCAGCCCGUUGUUACGCUUUCUCAGAGAGGUUGAGAAUAUGCUUGAAAAAGGAAACAGAUUUUGUAUCCUAUGUUAAUAAUUAUGCUCCUGCUGCUGCCUGGAGCUUGAUGGUAAGAAGUAUGCAGGGGUCAUGGUCAGAUUCAGCCCGAGAGAGGGCUGCAUGUUUGAUGCCCAUCACAGGCUCAAGAGGCAAAAGCGUCCGUGCCUUUGAUACGUGUUUACUAUAUAUUUAUUGACUGACUGCAUGGAUUUAAAAAUACAUGAAGAAUCUGGUGAUUGUAUAAUUCCAGAUUAGCUCUUAGUGGGAUUUGUCAUUCCAUGAAGUUUAAAGAAAACAAAAUUAGUCGCAUGAACCCCAGCUGUUGACAUUUUCCCCUGCUUCUUGGCGCCCUAUUAUCUCAGCUGGUCUAGGCAUAUCUCAGCAAUUUACCAUAGUUCUGCAGGCAGCUCUCAGGCCACUUAAGCUGACACUUUGAAAUAUUAGUGGGGAAAUGCUGCAGGUGCAAUGAGCUGGCAGAGAUCCAGCAGCAAGUUUGCAUCAGCCCAGAAUUUUAAAAAGUUUUGUGGACUAUCCCUUAUGUUAUUAAGCUGUUACAAUUAGAGGCAAAAAUCCUAUUUCAUUUGGCAGGCAUCUUGUUUCAUCUGUAAAGCACCAUCAUUCUCCCAGAGAAAAAGAAGGCAUUAUUUCUAGAAUUCCAUUGUGGAUGUGAUCAUCACUGUGCCUGCUAUCAGGAAGCGUUCACAACAAAAGCUGUAUGUGGCAGCUUGACAGGACAGAGAACACUUCUGUGCCCACCAAGGCAGCUCACUCAGGAUUUUCACUGCUGAGAAUGCUUAGAAUGAUUCAGAUACCUCUAGUCUCUCGCAGACAGCCUCACAUGUAGCUCUCUAUGGGUACUUUCUUUUUCUCUAGUACUUUCAUUCAUAUUACUCUUAUUUUCCUUACUAUAUUGUGAUAAUCUCUUACACACCUGGAUUUUAGGUAAAAUGAUUAGCUAAGAUAAGAUGAAAUCACAUAUAAUCAGAAUCACUUUUCAACCCUCUUAAUAUUAGAUGGUAUUAAGGAAUGAUUAUAAAUGUUGUCAGAGGUAAUAUGGGAAUGGUAGUUAUAGAGGAAGAGAAAGUCCUUUUAUCAGCUAGAGAUGCAUACUAGAGGGUGUAUACACAAAAUAACAUGACAUCUGGGAUUUGACUUAAAGUAACACAGCAAAAGGUAACAGUGUAGAAAGUAGGUAAACCAAGAUUGAAAAAAUAUUGAUGUGGAUAAUUAUUGAAACUGGGUAAUGGAUAUGAAGGAGUUCAUUAUAAUAUUCUCUCUACCUUCGUAUAUGUUGGAAAGUUCAUAUAUUCAAAAUAUAAACAAUACUUUAAGCGACCACUUAAGGACUCUGUGUGUGUGUGUGUGUGUGUGUGUGUGCCCGUGUGGGUGUAUACAUACAUAAUUAUUUCAUUCAUUAUGUUCAUUGACAUUUGAGAAAAGUAAGCAACAAGAAUAACAGAGCUGUAUACAGUUUGGGUGUUCUCAAAGCCCAUAGUGGCAAAUCUGGUAUGGGGUUGUUUCCAUUGGGUUCCUGUCUGCUAUUAUGUUUUGCUCCACUUUGGUUUGCUAUUAAAACCCUGUUGUGUCAAUUCAUGUUAUGAUAGAUCUUGUUGCUGCUGAGGAGAUGAAAAGUGAUCAUUUAAGUGAAAAUCCAGAGCCUGGUACACAGUGGCCAUGCAGCAUAUAUUUACUAAACUUGAAUUUGCAUCUUGAUGCGUCAUGCUUAUAUACUUGUCAGGUUCACGACUGCGCCAAUUGUCACGCC
rnacentral:lncRNA from 10 species